rnacentral:rRNA from 1 species
GACGAACGCUGGCGGCGUGCCUAAUACAUGCAAGUAGAACGCACAGUUUAUACCGUAGCUUGCUACACCAUAGACUGUGAGUUGCGAACGGGUGAGUAACGCGUAGGUAACCUGCCUGGUAGCGGGGGAUAACUAUUGGAAACGAUAGCUAAUACCGCAUAAUAUUAAUUAUUGCAUGAUAAUUAAUUGAAAGGUGCAAUUGCACCACUACCAGAUGGACCUGCGUUGUAUUAGCUAGUAGGUGAGGUAACGGCUCACCUAGGCGACGAUACAUAGCCGACCUGAGAGGGUGAUCGGCCACACUGGGACUGAGACACGGCCCAGACUCCUACGGGAGGCAGCAGUAGGGAAUCUUCGGCGAUGGACGAAAGUCUGACCGAGCAACGCCGCGUGAGUGAAGAAGGUUUUCGGAUCGUAAAGCUCUGUUGUAAGAGAAGAACGGGUGUGAGAGUGGAAAGUUCACACUGUGACGGUAUCUUACCAGAAAGGGACGGCUAAUUACGUG